GUUCCGAUGGUCACGUUCAGAAGGCCGCUCAGAACAUUGGCGCAGAUGCCGAGUUUUAGGGCAUCUCUAGGGCAUGAUGAGUUCCCCGGUGGAUUCCCCGAUGGCGGGCUUGGUGGAGUCCCCGGUGCCGGGCCAGGUGGAGUCGGGCCAGGUGGAUUCCCCGAUGGCGGGCUUGGUGGAGCCCCCGAGCCAGGUGGAGUCCCCGGUUGGAGGCCAGGUGGAGUCGAGCCAGGUGGAGUCCCCGGUUGCGAGCCAGGUGGAGUCCUCGAGUGCGGUUUUGGGGUUGGGUGAGUCGAAGCAGUACUGACCAAGGAGAAGAAG
rnacentral:lncRNA from 1 species